UACGUAGGGGCCUAGCGUUGUCCGGAUUUAUUGGGCGUAAAGAGCUCGUAGGCGGCUUGUUGCGUCGACCGUGAAAACCCGUGGCUCAACUGCGGGCUUGCGGUCGAUACGGGCGGGCUAGAGUUCGGUAGGGGAGACUGGAAUUCCUGGUGUAGCGGUGAAAUGCGCAGAUAUCAGGAGGAACACCGGUGGCGAAGGCGGGUCUCUGGGCCGAUACUGACGCUGAGGAGCGAAAGCGUGGGGAGCGAACAGG
rnacentral:rRNA from 1 species